GUCCACGCCCUAAACGAUGUCGACUGGUUGUUGGGGUUUGACACUCUCAGUAACGAAGCUAACGCGUGAAGUCGACCGCCUGGGGAGUACGGCCGCAAGGUUAAAACUCAAAGGAAUUGACGGGGACCCGCACAAGCGGUGGAUUAUGUGGAUUAAUUCGAUGCAACGCGAAAAACCUUACCUACCCUUGACAUGUCCGGAAGCCUGGGGAAACCCGGGUGUGCCCGAAAGGGAACUGGAACACAGGUGCUGCAUGGCUGUCGU
rnacentral:rRNA from 1 species